CCCAGCUGUAGGCAACUGCCUAGGUCACCUUGGACCUAGGCAAGUAUUACACCACUGGGAGAAAAGCAGUCAAGAUGCAUGGGCAUUCUGGGCUUGAUUAGUCCCAAAUUUGGGUUAACUAUACCAAUGUGCCAUCAUA
ensembl:snoRNA SNORA74 Small nucleolar RNA SNORA74